GUUUGCUUAAAUGUAAAUAAUUUCCAUGCGUUUUCUGUGCUGUCUGCAAAAGAAAAAAAAACAUUUAAAAGUGCCGAGCACAGACCAAAUGAGAAAAGCUUUGUAACUUUGUUGCUCUUUUGCGCAUUUUUUUUGCCCAGAAACUUCAACGAAGUGCCAAAUAUAGAAUGUUUGCAACAUUCCUGCACAGUGUUGUGUUCCUACAAGAAAUGCAAGAUCAGAAACAGUUUGUAAUGAGGAAGAAGCGUGCAUGGACAGGGUGAACCAGAUCGUUUAUUGGAUGCCUGUAAUGCACACACUAAGACAGCCGGAUCACCAGUGCUUGUGAUGUACCAACAAACCCAAACUGCUCUCGUCAUACAGUGUGUUUACUGUAAUUACCAUAUUCCAAUACCCAGCAAACUUCCCAUUUUAGAUACAACAGUACAGAAGAAAAAAAAAGGAAAAAAUAAAUGAAAAAAAAGCGGAUCCCACGUUCUGUUGGAAUCUACGUAAGCGAAGCUUUCUUUGCUGUUUGUUUUGAUCAACAAUAAUUAGCGAUGGUGUUGAUGGCGAAAGUGGUGAGUUGAUGUUAAACAUUACCUUGCGGGCACCACUGCUGCUUGUCUGCAUAGUACACAAAACACACAGCGAGAUGUGUUUGCUUCACGUGUAGUUGUCUGCCAUUAUUCAUAACCUCUGAGAAAUUUAGCAUUGUCAUUGCCUCACCCAGCACAUUGCAUCGUGGCAGAAGUGUUAAACUUCAAUUGAAUUAUUGGUAUGUAUAGCAAAAUCACAAUCGGAUUAUGAGGCAUGCCAUAGUGGUGGACUACGGAUAAAUUUUGACCCCCUGGGAUUUUUAACAAGCACCUAAAUCUAAGUGCAUGAGUGUUUUCAUAUUUUGCGCCAGUUGAAAUGUGGCUUCUGGGGUUGGGAUCGAACCCGCAACCGUGAGCGAUGCCAUAGCAGCGUAGCUACCACAGCAGAUGCAUGGUGUUGAUUUGAUGUGCAACUGCUUCUGCACUGUUGUCUAGACACUACGGUGCUUUAUAGUGGCUUUGCUUCUGCACACCAUGCGUCAGUUGUCUGCUUGACAAAUUUCCAUGGUGUCCAUUUUUCAGAAGUAGCAGAAAUGUACCGUGCCAUACCUUGAACUUAAAUUUUUCCAGUUUGUCCGCAACUGGCUGUCGUGUCUAGUAGCAGGGUUUCCUCGCCUUUUUCCUCUGCUGCCCUCCCCAAUUUAUGACAACUGUGAGCAAAGAAUGACAAUGCUGUUGUUCAGUUGUUUUGUGACUGUGUUGGUUCUACCCAUUCUCUGCCUCCUCUCCCUACCUCCUCUCUACCAUUCUAUCCCCCUCCCCUCUGGACUGUUGCAUGUUAGUAAAAAGGUAAGCUCUGCAACUUUUGCUAUGCUUUUGCUGGGGGUCACGGAUAACUACAGCAGUCAAGAGGGUAUUGUGGAUAUGCCCAGGGAGCUCCAGAGGGCAUUGCGCAUGUGCGAUGUGAUGGAAAGGUCCAAACAGGUUUCUCGCAUCUCCUUUCCUCUCUCUAUACAGUUGCCAACUGACUUUACGGACUCCAA